rnacentral:tRNA from 1 species
ACUCUCUUAGUAUAACACACAGUACAACUGACUUCCAAUCAGACAGCCCCAGUAUUAAGCCCGGGAGAGAGUA